rnacentral:rRNA from 1 species
AGGACGAACGCUGGCGGCGUGCCUAAUACAUGCAAGUCGAACGGUCUUUCUAUGGAAGCUUGCUCCACUGAGAAGAUAGUGGCGAACGGGUGAGUAACACGUGGGUAACCUGCCCAUAAGAGGGGGAUAACAUCCGGAAACGGGUGCUAAUACCGCAUAGUUUUCUUGAUCGCAUGAUCGGGAAAGGAAAGACGGCCUUUGUGCUGUCGCUUAUGGAUGGACCCGCGGCGUAUUAGUUAGUUGGUGAGGUAACGGCUCACCAAGACGAUGAUACGUAGCCGACCUGAGAGGGUGAUCGGCCACAUUGGGACUGAGACACGGCCCAAACUCCUACGGGAGGCAGCAGUAGGGAAUCUUCCGCAAUGGACGAAAGUCUGACGGAGCAACGCCGCGUGAGUGAAGAAAAGGUUUUCGGAUCGUAAAACUCUGUUGUCAGAGAAGAACAAGUUGGAGAGUAACUGCUCCAGCCUUGACGGUAUCUGACCAGAAAGCCACGGCUAACUACGUGCCAGCAGCCGC